AUGAAGCCAGUGCAAAGGUGACGCUCACCUGCAAGAAAAACCCUUUUGUAAAAAUCAACAUGGACGGGAUUCCUAUUGGAAGGAAAAUAGACCUUGAAGCAUAUAACAGCUAUGAUGGGCUAUCAUCAGCUGUCAAAGAGCUCUUCCAUGGUUUUCUUCAAGGUAGAAACUAACAAUCUAUCCAAAUAAAAUAAGUAUUUCAUUUUUUUAAUCCUUACCUUUUAUGUGACCAUAUUGCAGCUCAAAAGGACCAAGCUAAUGUAGAAAUUGCACAGCAAGGUACAGAUGACGAAAUAUUUUAUCAGUUGUUGGAUGGGUCUGGUGAAUAUACUCUAGUUUAUGAAGACAGUGAAGGAGACAGAAUGCUGGUUGGGGAUGUGCCAUGGAAGUAAGCUUGCUUGUCCCCUUUGCCACUUACAGUUUUUUACUGGCAUUUACAAAAUAACUAAAAUUUAAAAACAAUAAAAGGACAUUGCCACCAUAACUCACCACCUAAUUUCCUUUUCGUGUUCUCCAAUUCCUGCAGUGUGUUUGUCUCAACUGUUAAAAGGCUGAGGGUUCUAAGGAGUUCAGAGCUUUCCCAUACCCUGGUAAGACAAACUAGACCACUUAAUGUUGCGUCCAAAUCUUUGGUGUAGCCAUAAAAAAACUAUAUUUCGCUAAAUUUGAAUGGAGAUAGCUACACGUUUAUGUUACUCUCAUAUCCUUUUUUUUUCCCUAUUUUCCAGAUUGGAACUACUUCUAGUGCUAGGAUCUAGGAGAGUCACCAAUUACUGAAAUGCUGGCAGCUUAUUAACCAUCAGAACGAAUGAGUGUACACUCAAGCUAGUCCAUUCUCCUUUUUGGGACUACCCCCUAUUUUGCCUAUAGAGAUGAUCUACUGAGAUGAGUUAGCAUACAGCAGAUGCAAGGAAAUGGCAAUCUAUUUUGUAAAUUAGGUUACCACCUUGCUAUGGCAUGUUGCUUAAUUAAAUUCUAAGCGGUUUUGGUUUUAUUGGGGGGAGCCGCAUAUGUAGACUUGCAGCUCGCCCAUGUAAAGUGCCCCGUUCUGUGUGAUAAAUUUGUAUUAAUCGCUGCUGCAAUCCGACAUGCAGAUCCAAUGUCACCAGCGUGUCUCAGAGGACAGCAACUAGGCCAACCUGAUAGCAUCAGGUCAUCACUCCACGUGGAAUAUACUACUAGUAGGGGGGAAAAAAGACAGAAUUAUCCACUGGGUGAAUUGUUAUCCUUCUAACCCCAUCACUUUCAAAAAUUUUGUCACAAGCACAGCGAGAAAGGUUUGACCCAGAUAAUGAAACUGCCGAAAGCAAAUAUGUGCUAAUAAUGCCUUAAUGCUUAUUGGGUAUCUAAUAGCUAUCAUGUGAGAAUAGUGGCAUGAUUGUGACCACAUGUGAGAGGAGUAGCUUUUCAUACUCUUGGCUGUUUAGUUUCCAAAAUUUUUUUCCAAAAACAUCACAUCGAAUCUUUGAACAUCUAAAUGAAGCAUUAAAUAUAUAUAAACAUUGAAACUAAUUACACAGUUAUAGAGGAAAUAGUGAGACGAAUCUUUUGAGUCUAAUUAGGACGUGAUUUGCCAUAAGUGCUACAGUUACCAACAUGUGCUAAUGAUGGAUUAAUUAGACUCAAAAGAUUCGCCUCACGGUUUCCAGGCGAAAUCUGAAAAUUUAUUUUGUAAUUAGACUAAGUUUAAUACUUCAAAUGUGUCUUUAAAGUUUUGAUGUGAUGUUUUUGCAAAAAAAAUUUCAAACUAAACAGAAGCUAAGAAAUAAACAGUUUGUACUAUUUUUAGUUUUUAAAAUGAAUGCAUUAUUUAGGUCCAUUAAUGGUUAAAACCAUCUGAUAGCACUAGCUGCCAAACCUGGAUGUUUCUCCAAGCUGCCCUGGUGACCAUAUUCACAUGUCUUUUGAAUAAGUCAAUAUCAACAGCUGGUGGUACUGGUUUUUUCCCCAUAAUAAGUAUAAUGCAUUAGUUUCAACUUGACGGUUCACCCUGUGAGCAGAAUUUUUUGAGAAUUAAUAUUAUUUUAAUGAAAAAUUGCAAAAUUAUAGGCUAUCCACGGAAAAUCGCAAAUUUAUGGUCCUGUCGAGCUACCGUAGUUCGAUAGGACCCCUAUCGAACGGCCAGCAAUCGACUAUAGAGAUCAGACUAGAUCGCCAGCGCUGCAGUUCGAUAAGGCGUGUCGAACUACCCCUAUUCGACAAGCCGCAGUUAGACAGGGGGGGUCUGUCUAACCACGGCAGUUUGACAGGCCGGCAGUUCGAUGGGCCCGACUGGCUCAGCAGUCGAACAGGUGGUGGGCCCUGUCGAACUACCUCUGUUCGAUAGGCCCCAGUCGAACGCCCACCGAUCGAUAGACCUCUAAAUUCGUGAUUUCUCCCGGAUUACGUCUACUUUUGCAAUUUUCCAUUAAAAUAAUAUUAAUUCUCAAAAAAAUUCGUGAAAGCAUGCCUAAUGCCGUAAUACAUAUAACUCUUGCAAAUAUGUAUACCAAUAGGAAUAUAAGAUGUUAGUAUAUACACGGUAACAUUUUUUGGAGGGUGAUUGUUAUGAGGCAUACCUGAAAUAGGACUAUGGAAGAAUUUUGUAAGUCAAUCUUGAGGCACCUUCAGGGCUGAAAUUUUCCACAGGAAAAUUACAACACAGCCAUUUCCAUGUUCAUGCAUCUGGACAUAUAAAAACCACAUGUAUUCAAGAUAAAUAAAGCAAGUGGACACACUAAAACCAGGAGAGAGAGGAACUUUUCUGGUAAAGGAGGAUAUUCACCUUGAUCCUUCCGAGCCUUGAAACUGGGGACAAAGGAAAUGUCUUUGUCAUUGGACCAUCCCUAAAUUCUGGACAGCAGGAAAAGUAGAAGAGACGGGGUGGAUUACGAAAGAAUCUUAGGCUCUUUUGUAAUGUCCUUACUUGAACAUCUUUAUCCCCGCAGUAUCGUGUGCUCAUGUGCUGCCACUUGAAGUGUGUGACUGAGUACAAUUUACCUAUGUGGCAUAAAAAACUAUACUCCUUUUGCAAGAACAGUUCUUUGGUGACGGUGAAAGACAAAAAGAAGUGCAGACAAUACAAUGACAGAGCUAAACUUAUUUCAGGCAGUUGAAUAGUAGACUACUAGUUUAAGGUAAUG
rnacentral:lncRNA from 1 species